AGGGGACCUUACCAUCCAUGUGUCCACAGAAGAGUGUACAGUGGAGUCGCAUGUGUCAGACACGUCAUCCUCUGUGCCGUCUGAUUCCUCUGAUGCAACAGGGGUUCUUGAGACGAACCGUGGAGUGAAAAGAAGCCACGCUGAUCGGGAAUCAGCAAAAGCAAUGGUGAGAGAGGUUCUCCAGUCUAAGCCAGGGGGAGAAAAAGUCUUGAGUGAAUAUGACAAGAUGAA